GCGUUGUCCGGAAUCAUUGGGCGUAAAGAGCGUGUAGGCGGCCCGAUAAGUCCGCUGUGAAAGUCCAGGGCUCAACCCUGGAAUGCCGGUGGAUACUGUCGGGCUCGAAUCCGGAAGAGGUGAGUGGAAUUCCUGGUGUAGCGGUGAAAUGCGCAGAUAUCAGGAGGAACACCAAUGGCGAAGGCAGCUCACUGGGACGGUAUUGACGCUGAGACGCGAAAGCGUGGGGAGCAAACAGG
rnacentral:rRNA from 1 species